UACGUAGGGUGCAAGCGUUAAUCGGAAUUACUGGGCGUAAAGCGUGCGCAGGCGGUUAUGUAAGACAGUUGUGAAAUCCCCGGGCUCAACCUGGGAACUGCAUCUGUGACUGCAUAGCUAGAGUACGGUAGAGGGGGAUGGAAUUCCGCGUGUAGCAGUGAAAUGCGUAGAUAUCCGGAGGAACACCGGUGGCGAAGGCGGCUUCCUAGACCGAUUACUGACGCUGAGGCGCGAAAGCUAGGGGAGCAAACGGG
rnacentral:rRNA from 1 species